rnacentral:rRNA from 1 species
CGACAGACGAGGAGCUUGCUCCUUUGACGUUAGCGGCGGACGGGUGAGUAACACGUAGGUAACCUACCUAUAAGACUGGGAUAACUUCGGGAAACCGGAGCUAAUACCGGAUAAUAUUUCGAACCGCAUGGUUCGAUAGUGAAAGAUGGCUUUGCUAUCACUUAUAGAUGGACCUGCGCCGUAUUAGCUAGUUGGUAAGGUAACGGCUUACCAAGGCAACGAUACGUAGCCGACCUGAGAGGGUGAUCGGCCACACUGGAACUGAGACACGGUCCAGACUCCUACGGGAGGCAGCAGUAGGGAAUCUUCCGCAAUGGGCGAAAGCCUGACGGAGCAACGCCGCGUGAGUGAUGAAGGUCUUCGGAUCGUAAAACUCUGUUAUUAGGGAAGAACAAACGUGUAAGUAACUGUGCACGUCUUGACGGUACCUAAUCAGAAAGCCACGGCUAACUACGUGCCAGCAGCCGCGGUAAUACGUAGGUGGCAAGCGUUAUCCGGAAUUAUUGGGCGUAAAGCGCGCGUAGGCGGUUUUUUAAGUCUGAUGUGAAAGCCCACGGCUCAACCGUGGAGGGUCAUUGGAAACUGGAAAACUUGAGUGCAGAAGAGGAAAGUGGAAUUCCAUGUGUAGCGGUGAAAUGCGCAGAGAUAUGGAGGAACACCAGUGGCGAAGGCGACUUUCUGGUCUGUAACUGACGCUGAUGUGCGAAAGCG